UCGUAAUUUUAAACCACAAAGAUUUUGUUACAUAAUUCCCAUAAAUGUUCACCACCAGUUCAGUGAAAUUCAUAUUAUUAGUCACCAAUCCAUGUAUAAAUAGAGGACAGCCAGCAGAAUUCCUCACUGUUCUGCUAACAACAAACAAGUGCGACAGAUUUUGCCAAAGAUGACCUUUGUAAGAGCAACACUCCUCUCUGUCUUGUUAGUAGCAGCCUACGUAGAGAAUUGCAAUGCUGGUCAUGUUGGUGUCCAUGAACCAAUGACAUGCUGUUUAUCUUAUCAAAACAAACCGAUUCAUUCCAGUGUUCUGAAGACGUUUUAUAGAACAAGUGAAACAUGUAACAAAGCAGGUGUGGUGUUUGUGGGUAUUAAAGGCAAUGAGUUCUGCACUGAUCCUACAAAACGCUGGGUGAGAAAUGCUAUGAACAUCUUGCCAGAGUUAAAGAAGAAUCCUGAGAAUAAUUGAAGACAUUAUCAGCAAGCAAGUUUAUCAUGUUUCUGAAUAAAUGACUCUCCUGUACAGAAA